UACUCAACAGCUAGCCUACAAUCAAA
rnacentral:rRNA from 1 species